GACGUAGGGUGCAAGCGUUGUCCGGAAUUAUUGGGCGUAAAGAGUUCGUAGGCGGCUUGUCGCGUCGGAAGUGAAAGCCCGGGGCUUAACCCCGGGUCUGCUACCGAUACGGGCAGGCUAGAGGGAAGCAGGGGAGAGUGGAAUUCCUGGUGUAGCGGUGGAAUGCGCAGAUAUCAGGAGGAACACCGGUGGCGAAGGCGGGUCUCUGGGCCGAUAUUGACGCUGAGGAGCGAAAGCGUGGGGAGCGAACAGG
rnacentral:rRNA from 1 species